GGGAAACCGGAGCUAAUACCGGAUAAUAUUUUGAACCGCAUGGUUCAAAAGUGAAAGACGGUCUUGCUGUCACUUAUAGAUGGAUCCGCGCUGCAUUAGCUAGUUGGUAAGGUAACGGCUUACCAAGGCAACGAUGCAUAGCCGACCUGAGAGGGCGAUCGGCCACACUGGAACUGAGACACGGUCCAG
rnacentral:rRNA from 1 species